GAUGAAGAACGUAGUGAAAUGCGAUACGUAAUGUGAAUUGCAGAAUUCAGUGAAUCAUCGAAUCUUUGAACGCACAUUGCGCCCUUUGGCAUUCCGAAGGGCACACCUGUCCGAGCGCCGUCGCACAACUGAGGCGCAGCCUUGCGUUGGCGGGCGACUUGUGAGUAGCGAGUCGCCGCCCAAACGAGACGGCGCCGCGCCGCGGCCGACGAAGCACGAAAGCGGAAGUCGACGCGGAGGCGGUUGCCUGUAGGAAGACACAGCUUGGCCUCGGAUCAGGUGGGGAUACCCGCUGAACUUAAGCAUAUCAAUAAGCGGAGGA
rnacentral:misc_RNA from 1 species